GACGAACGCUGGCGGCGUGCUUAACACAUGCAAGUCGAACGGUGAAGCGCCUUCCUUUUUGGUGGGUGUGGAUGAGUGGCGAACGGGGUAGUAACACGUGAGUAACCUUCCCCCUUCUUCUGGAUAACCGCAUGAAAGUGUGGCUAAUACGGGAUAUUCUGGGUCUGUCGCAUGAUGGGUCUGGGAAAGUUAUUGUUUCGGUGGGGGAUGGGCUCGCGGCCUAUCAGCUUGUUGGUGGGGUGAUGGCCUACCAAGGCGGUGACGGGUAGCCGGCCUGAGAGGGUGGACGGUCACACUGGGGAGGAGCCGCGGCGCAUACUCCGGCGGGAGGCAGCAGGGGGGAAUAUUGCACAGGGGGCGGAAGGCUGAUGCAGCGACGCCGCGUGAGGGAUGGAGGCCUUCGGGUUGUGAACCUCUUUCGCCAGUGAAGCAGGCCUGCCUCGUUUGUGGGUGGGUUGACGGUAGCUGGAUAAGAAGCGCCGGCUAACUACGUG
rnacentral:rRNA from 1 species